rnacentral:rRNA from 1 species
ACUCCUCGGGAGCAGCAGUGGGAAUAUUGCACAAUGGGCGAAAGCCUGAUGCAGCAACGCCGCGUGCGGGAAGAAGGCCCUAGGGUUGUAAACCGCUUUCAGCAGGGAAGAAAAUGACGGUACCUGCAGAAGAAGGUGCGGCCAACUACGUGCCAGCAGCCGCGGUGACACGUAGGCACCAAGCGUUGUCCGGAUUUAUUGGGCGUAAAGNGCUCGUAGGCGGUUCAGUAAGUCGGGUGUGAAAACUCUGGGCUCAACCCAGAGACGCCACCGAUACUGCUGUGACUUGAGUACGGUAGGGGAGCGGGGAAUUCCGUGGUGUAGCGGUGAAAUGCGCAGAUAUCAGGAGGAACACCAGUGGCGAAGGCGCCGCUCUGGGCCGUAACUGACGCUGAGGAGCGAAAGCGUGGGUAGCAAACAGGAUUAGAUACCCUGGUAGGCUCUGC